CGAUAUGGAAUUCUAUUUACUCAAUUUAAGUUGAGUAUUCGUUUCCCUCCUUUUCCAGCCUGGAUCGAAAAUCCUGUAUUUUCAAUAUCCAUACAAUCGAGUCCUUAG
rnacentral:rRNA from 1 species